rnacentral:rRNA from 1 species
CGUAGGUGGCGAACGUUAUCCGGAAUAACUGGGCGUAAAGGGUCCGUAGGCGGCUGCGCAGGUCUGGCGUGAAAGCUCUCGGCUAAACUGAGAGAGUGCGUUGGAAACCGCGUAGCUAGCAUCACGCAGGGACUGGUGGAAUUCCCGGUGUAGUGGUGGAAUGCGUAGAGAUCGGGAGGAACCUCUAGAGCGAAGGCAACCGGCUAGGCGAUGAUGGACGCUGAGGACGAAAGCGUGGGAGCGAACAGGAUU